UACAGAGGGUGCAAGCGUUGUUCGGAAUUAUUGGGCGUAAAGGGCGCGUAGGCGGUUCGGCAAGUCUUCAGUGAAAUCUCUGGGCUCAACUCAGAGUCUGCUGGGGAAACUGCCGGGCUUGAGUGUGGGAGAGGAGAGUGGAAUUCCUGGUGUAGCGGUGAAAUGCGUAGAUAUCAGGAGGAACACCUGAGGCGAAAGCGGCUCUCUGGACCACAACUGACGCUGAGGCGCGAAAGCUAGGGGAGCAAACAGGAUUAGAAACCCCGGUAGUCC
rnacentral:rRNA from 1 species